AGGGUUGAUCAGUAGGUGUAAAUAUAUUUAACAUUUAAUAGUGAUUAGGAGGUAUUCACAAUUGUUUAAAAACGAUGAGUUUUUUUUAAUUAGAAACUAAUUAUUACUUUUAUUCUAGCAAUAAAUUAGUAAUUUGUGCUGUUGAUUGUCACAACAUGAUUUAAUUGAUCUUCUCUUUACAUCUGAUUUUGUUUAUAAUAGUAUUGAAUUUUAGCAAUAAUGAGCACUCCCGAAGUGGAUGCCCUCUCCAUCUCUGGAGCCCCAAAAGGCUGCAGCUGAGGCGAUGAAGGUCUUUUGGAGCAAAACAAAGUUGUGGGUUCCAACAUGGAGAAUAAUGUGUUGUGGUCCUCACAAUUAACCGGCUUGGUUUGUUACGGGCAACAAGUCUGUGAUGAGGAAGGGAUGAGUGUGCUCUUGCAAGUUAGAACCAUUGCAGAAAUCGGAGCGUGGUCGUUAGAGGUAGAGGACUUGCUGCAUUGGGCAGCACCGAGAUCUGGUAGUGUGGGCUUUACUCUUCAACCGAGCUUGUUAACGCAAGAAACUCGUGUGAUUGAAAUACAUUUGAGUACGAUGGCAAAUCCCAGUCCAGCUGGAUUACAUUUUCGUUAGGAGGGUACUGAACGAGCGUGUAUUCGAUUGCAGGAUUUAGAGUCUCGUCAGAGUUCAUGUAGUAUCAGGGAGGUUAGGGUUUGUAAAAGGAGUAGUUUAUAGGUUGGUAUGACUCGGAUUGACAAGCUGGAACUGAUUUAAUCGAAUGUGAUUUCAUCAUCACAUAAUUCAAAGAAAAAAUUAAGAUGCUGACACUUAGUCAAUUUCAUAUGAAGGCUUCAACUUGGAUCUAGAACCAAGGACGUAGUUGCCCUGAAUGGAUCGGUAGGUGGGCCUCGCUUCCAAUAUUUGCAUGCGGGGGCAUUGUUCAUACGUGUGCGGUUUGUAGCGGAGAUCUGAAAGUUCUUCGCAACAUGCAAGAGCAUACAAAUGGACAUUAGAAGAAUUGCGAAGGACUUUAGAUCUGUUUUGGGGCUUCUCUCUGGUUCCCUUGCCGGUUCCCUCUUGGCAGAGUGAGGGAGACAUCCAUAGACUCUGUUUGCAUCAACCUAAGCAUCCCUCUCAUUGCUUAUCAGUCUGCAAAGGAUGUUAUCAGAAUCUGUGGCAAAGGAAAUGUCAUUGUUCUGAAGUUGAAGGUUAACUUCGCUAGCACCAGAUAUGAAGCAACUUGUACGCGAGAUUGAGUGGCACCAUGUUCGUCCAAGUAGGUCCCUUCAAAGAGACACGUGCUUGAUUCCACACAUGAAGUGGUGAAGGAUCCAACUUUUUUAUUCAAUACUAUCAGUUCCUGAAAGAUUUUGACUCAAA